rnacentral:rRNA from 1 species
AUAUCUAAGUGAGAUUUCGGUCAAGUGAGGAUAUGGAGAGCGGCGGACGGGUGAGUAACGCGUAGGCAACCUGCCCCAUACAGAGGGAUAGCCUCGGGAAACCGGGAUUAAGACCUCAUAACGCGAGAAGUUCACAUGAACAGCUCGCCAAAGAUUUAUCGGUAUGGGAUGGGCCUGCGUCUGAUUAGCUAGUUGGUGAGGUAACGGCUCACCAAGGCGACGAUCAGUAGCCGACCUGAGAGGGUAAUCGGCCACAUUGGAACUGAGACACGGUCCAAACUCCUACGGGAGGCAGCAGUGGGGAAUAUUGCACAAUGGGCGAAAGCCUGAUGCAGCAACGCCGCGUGAGCGAUGAAGGCCUUUGGGUCGUAAAGCUCUGUCCUUGGGGAAGAAAAAAAUGACGGUACCCAUGGAGGAAGCCCCGGCUAACUACGUGCCAGCAGCCGCGGUAAUACGUAGGGGGCAAGCGUUAUCCGGAAUUAUUGGGCGUAAAGAGUGCGUAGGUGGUUUUAUAAGCGCGGGGUGAAAGGCAAUGGCUCAACCAUUGUUAGCCUUGCGAACUGUGAGACUUGAGUGCAGGAGAGGAAAGUGGAAUUCCUAGUGUAGCGGUGAAAUGCGUAGAUAUUAGGAGGAACACCAGUGGCGAAGGCGACUU